GACCGGCGCACGGGUGCGUAACGCGUAUGCAAUCUACCUUGUACAGAGGGAUAGCCCAGAGAAAUUUGGAUUAAUACCUCAUAGUGUUAUCGAAUGGCAUCGUUUGAUAACUAAAGUUCCAACGGUACAAGAUGAGCAUGCGUCCCAUUAGUUAGUUGGUAAGGUAACGGCUUACCAAGACAAUGAUGGGUAGGGGUCCUGAGAGGGAGAUCCCCCACACUGGUACUGAGACACGGACCAGACUCCUACGGGAGGCAGCAGUGAGGAAUAUUGGACAAUGGGCGCAAGCCUGAUCCAGCCAUGCCGCGUGCAGGAUGACUGCCCUAUGGGUUGUAAACUGCUUUUAUACAGGAAGAAACACUGCUACGAGUAGCAGCUUGACGGUACUGUAGGAAUAAGGAUCGGCUAACUCCGUGCCAGCAGCCGCGGUAAUACGGAGGAUCCAAGCGUUAUCCGGAAUCAUUGGGUUUAAAGGGUCCGUAGGCGGCCUUAUAAGUCAGUGGUGAAAUCUCCUAGCUCAACUAGGAAACUGCCAUUGAUACUGUAAGGCUUGAAUUUUUAGGAAGUAACUAGAAUAUGUAGUGUAGCGGUGAAAUGCUUAGAUAUUACAUGGAAUACCAAUUGCGAAGGCAGGUUACUACUAAUGGAUUGACGCUGAUGGACGAAAGCGUGGGUAGCGAACAGGAUUAGAUACCCUGGUAGUCCACGCCGUAAACGAUGGAUACUAGCUGUUCGGAUUUCGGUCUGAGUGGCUAAGCGAAAGUGAUAAGUAUCCCACCUGGGGAGUACGCACGCAAGUGUGAAACUCAAAGGAAUUGACGGGGGCCCG
rnacentral:rRNA from 1 species